CUUUUGUCAAUCUGUCUAACAACUGCAUCUUUAUUCAUGUUCUAUGCAUGUCACUAAAUACUGCUUAUUGUUCACAGCAUUCACAGCAGCACCCACAGAGUGAUCCUGUUUGUAUGUGUGAAGCCAUCAGUCAGUUGUAUGUUUGGUAUUUGGUCCCACAGACCUUAUGCCAUUGUUUUGUCGACUUGGCGAUUCUAUCCCUCAAUUCUGUUGACGUAAUUGUAUACAGAGUAAAGAAUCAUCACAUAGA